CCUACGGGAGGCAGCAGUUGGGAAUCUUGCACAAUGGGGGAAACCCUGAUGCAGCGACGCCGCGUGGAGGAUGACGGAUUUAGGUCUGUAAACUCCUUUUGCUAGGAAAGACUUAGGACGGUACCUAGCGAAUAAGCUCCGGCUAACUACGUGCCAGCAGCCGCGGUAAUACGUAGGGAGCAAGCGUUGUCCGGAUUUACUGGGCGUAAAGGGCGCGUAGGCGGCCUGUUAAGUGUGGUGUGAAAUCUCCAGGGCUCAACCCGGAAACUGCACCGCAUACUGGCAGGCUAGAGUGAUGUAGAGGCAAGUAGAAUUCCUGGUGUAACGGUGACAUGUGUAGAUAUCAGGAGGAAUACCGAUGGCGAAGGCAGCUUGCUGGGCAUUUACUGACGCUGAGGCGCGAAAGCGUGGGUAGCAAACAGAAUUAGAUACUCUGGUAGUCCACGCCCUAAACGAUGGAUACUAGGCGUCAGGGGUAUCGACCCCCCUGGUGCCGCAGCUAACGCAUUAAGUAUCCCGCCUGGGGAGUACGUCCGCAAGGAUGAAACUCAAAUGAAUUGACGG
rnacentral:rRNA from 1 species